AUGGAUUGGUGCCUUCGGAAUCUCUGACACAGGUGCUGCAUGGCUGUCGUCACCUCGUGUCGUGAGAUGUUGGGUUAAGUCCCGUAACGAGCGCAACCCUUGUCCUUAGUUUACCAUCACGUUAUGGUGGGCACUCUAAGGAGACUGCAGUGCCUAAACCGGAGGAAGGUGGGGAUGACAUCAAGUCAUCAUGGCCCUUACGGCCUGGGCUACACUCCUGUUACAAUGCAAUGGUACAAAGGGUUGCCAAGCCGCGAGGGGGAGAUAA
rnacentral:rRNA from 1 species